CUCUCCCAGCCUCUCCCAGCUCUCCCAGCCUUUCCCAGCAAUCCCAGCCUCUGUCAGCUCUCCCAGCCUCUCCCAGCAAUCCCAGCCUCUCCCAGCCUCCAGCCCUGCCAGGAUGCUCACUCUCAACACUGCCCUGCUGGGUGUCCUAGAGUGCCCAAGGCCUAUGCCCCUGCCACCAGCCAUUCUUGUGCCGCUUCCCCCUUUUUGAGUCCAUUGCUGCAGCUAAGACCUGGGCUCAGCACUCUGAGAAAGGUUUGCUAUUCCAAAGACAGCCAAAAACAUUUCACAGGCAUUUUCUAACUGAACCACCCUGAGAGGAAGCCAUCACAUUCUCCACAGCACGUGUGAGGAAACUGAAGACCUGCCUGGUCAAGUAGCUUGCCAGUGGUCACACAGCAAGUGAGUGAGAAAGCACAGCCACACAACCACACUCCAGGGUGUGUGUGUGUGUGUGUGUGUGUGUGUGGUGUAUUUUCCCUGAGAUUCACAACAGCUUCCAUUCAAACUGCUCCAGAUCUGUAAUUACAGGCUUCCAGUAAUCUUAAUAUCUUUCUCUUUAGUAAAGUUAAAUGUAGGUGAAUUUAAGCUAAAUUUAUGAAUAGAACUUCAACAAAAAUGCUUAGAACAAGUAAAGCUCCAAAGACUCAGUGAAGCCUGUUAUCUUUCCUAACCAAUUCUACAUUGUUCUCUUCACCAUGUAUCCUGACCUCCAUCACCACCCUGUGUGAGAAAGGUGUGACUGCAUCCAUUGCACUGGUUCUGCAAAUCGCAUGAGGGAGCAGGACAGACCUGAGACCUGCACCCAGGGCAAAGUGUGGGCCACACACUGGGCUCCAUGCUUUCCAUGUUCUCUGCUUGCUCAAUCCUGGAAGCAACCAUGUAGGCACUUGCUCUGAAGGAACACUUGGUUCAUCAGAAGAAAAAAAGCCCAUUGUUGUCACCAUCUCAAAUCUGUUGGGUAGAUACCACAGCCGGGUCUUCGCAUGAUCCCCCUGUCUGCAGUUAGCAGAGCUGUCAUGCUGUGUGGCCGUGGAAUGAUCUCCAGAUUUCAUGUGAUGCCAAUGAAGUACAGGAAAAACUGGACUCCCAGAAACCACCACAAAGUAAUCACUCUCCCAUCUCUGCUUGGUACCUUUGGUGGCCAGAGGACCUUCCUCAGGGAUCUGGUCUUGAACGUGGCUGCAGAGAUUCUUCCACAAGCACAUCUCAGGCAGCCAAAAAGAUUGUGUUGAAUUUUAUGUUCUGUGGGUUUCUUUCCAAAAUAAUAGAUAUGGUGAGUAUAUUGGAUACGCUUUCUCAAUCCAUGGUCUUUCUCCCAACCCCAUAUUCUAAUACUCCUCCAGGUGGUAUGGUCCUGUAGCAUGUGAUACGUUUAACACCUCUUAAGUUCUGAUUCCCCUUUCUUCUGGUAAUAUAUCCCAAUUUUCCUUUGCGGAACAGCCAUUUAUCCAUUUAAUGCAGUCUUAGAAGAACUUUCAAUGACUGUUCCUGCCUUUCCUAGCCAAAGGGUGAGCACACAAGCCACCAGCCCAAGCAGAUGCUCUCUCCCUGGAAGGUGACUUUUGAGCACUAUGUCCCAUGGCCUAAGCAUGGUUCUUAAAGAUGAUGCCUUAAGGAUACAGUCCAUUAGUUCCUGCUACCCAGAUCCCAGAAGCUACCCUGUUCCCUGUCCUUUUGGAGGUUAGUUAUUCAGCUUAUCCUUUAGUUCUCCAAGUUGAAUAGCCUCUCAAUAAAUUCCUGUUUUGCUUAAGAUAGUCAAGUUGGAUUCUGUUGCUAACAGCCAAAGAACUCUAAUUGAUACAUAACUCCCCCUACUAAGAAUAAUUGACCUGGAUUAUAUUUGAAGUCUCUUUUUACCUUCAACAAUCUGUGAUUCCAGUAACCUCCAAUAACAUAAAUUACAGGACAUCUAAAUCAAGAUUUAGGAGAAGAAAAAGAAAAACCCCAAACUCACAGAUACAAGAGAUUAAAAAUUUUGUAGUAGAUUGAAUAACUGUCUAACAAAUAUUCACUUCCUCCCCCUCAAACUUGGUGACAGACAUAUGCUUCCCUAGCCUAUUUGUGUUGUGCUUUACCAUGUGACUUACUUUAGCCAAUGGAAUGUGUGAGAAUGUGCCAUCUUUGAGCCUAGGCCUUAAGAGUUCUGUGUUUCUGCUCACCACUAGGAGUUUGCAAUCUCCCCCGUGAGAAGAAUAUGUUUUGGGAAGAAUGGGAGUCAUAUGGAAGUGACUUGAACCCAACUCUCAGCCUGGAGUCAGGCUCAGUCUAGAGAAGCUGAUCCCUAGACAACCUGCAGAUACAUGAGUAAGAAAUAAAGACCUGUCAUGAAGUUUUAA
rnacentral:lncRNA from 1 species